CGGCUUCCGGUCUCAGGGCCCGCCCUGCUGAGUAGGGCGCCCGCGAGUGUGCCUGUCCCGUGGUGGUUGUGAGGUCGGAGACGGGGUUGCGCGGAAGGAAAGCGGGACGCGAGGGAUGGGUGUGGCUCCGGGCCGGAGCUCGCGGAGAGCGGCGGGGGUGAGUUUUUUGCUAAAGUCCAGCUCCGGGAUUGAAUCAGGUAGCGGAGAGGACGGUCGCGAGGCACUGACGUCAGAGCCUCCCCCGAGAAGUCGCCGGCGACUCUCUACGUCGCUCUCCGCCCCGCGGUCGGGCUUGGCUUCUCCUUGGAGUGUGUAAUUACAGGUCUGGGGAAUCUCACUUCCUCACGACGCGUGCUUUUCCUGCCUCGAACUAGUCCGCCCACUAGUCUUCCCAUCUCCGGCUCAUUUUUAGUAAACCCACAGUGAGUGAGUGGUUAGCAUAUGACGUGGAACAACCAAAAUUUCCCUGUUCUUCAAGAGGUUGGACUAGAGAAGGAACUACGAUCUGUAUACAAAUAAACAUUCCAAAUAAGUACAAAGAUAAUGGUAGAACAUCCAAAUAAAUACAAAGAUAAUGAGCUGG
rnacentral:lncRNA from 1 species